rnacentral:snoRNA from 1 species
GGCAGAGGAUGAGACAAACAAAGACAAAGACAAGCAUAUGUCUGAUUCAUUAAGAAGAGAAACCUUUUAUGUCUGAUGCU